rnacentral:misc_RNA from 1 species
AAGUCGUAACAAGGUUUCCGUAGGUGAACCUGCGGAAGGAUCAUUAACACGUAUCCAACGUUAAACAACCCUGUGAACUUUAAGUCCCCUCUUGCAGCCCAUGAGGAACAGCAAUCCCGGUAAAUCAUUGCCAAACAGUUUUGAUUCGGGACCGUCCAUGGAAGCAGUGGCAUGGCUCAGUUAGUGAAUGACAGUGUCACUGACUGUGUAAGGAUAACGCCUCACGGUUGCUAGAGGUCGAUCACCGACCGGCAGACAUGUCACAGGGUCACCACACUCCACUUGAAAAUGCCCCGCCUCGUGGUAACGCGCUAGGUAAAAAAAACCGAACAACUGUUAACAAUGGAUAUCUUGGUUCUC